CAAUAGAUAAUAAAUAAUUAUGUUUAGAAAAAUUUAUUAAAAGUUUAUUUUAUAUAUAAAUUAUAGUGUUAAAUUAUUAUUAUUUUAAUAAUAAUAAUAUUUUUAUUAUAGUAAAUAAAAUUAAAAAUUUAAGAAAUUAAGAUUUAGUAAUACAAAAAUUAAUAACAAAUUUUGUGCCAGCAGUUGCGGUUACACAAAAAUUAAAUUGAAUUAUUUCAGUUUAUAAAUAAUAAAUUAAAAUUAAAAUAGAUAUUAAAUUAUUAGGUAAAAUUUUAAUUUAAUUAAAUUUUAUAGGUAAAUUUAUGUUUUAAUAAAUUUUAAGAUAAACUAGGAUUAGAUACCCUAUUAUUAAAAAUUUAAAUUAUAAUACUAAAAUAGUAAAUAAUUAUUUAUUGAAACUUAAAUAAUAUGGCGGUAUUUUAGUUCAUUUAGAGGAAUCUGUUUAAUAAUUGAUAAUCCACGAUUAAAUUUACUUGAUUAAUAAUUUUAUAUAUCGUUGUUAAAAAAAUAUUUUUAAUUAAUAAUAAUAUUUUAAAAUUUAAAUAAAAAAUUAAUUCAGAUCAAGAUGUAGAUUAUAAUUAAGAAUAUAAUGGAUUACAAUAAAUUUAUUUAAAUGAAUAUAUUAUUGAAAAAUAAUAUUGAAGGUGGAUUUAAAUGUAAUUUUAUUUAAUUGAAUAAAAUGAUUUAAAAUUAAAAUAUGUACAUAUUGCCCGUCACUUUCAUUUUAAAGUUGAAAUAAGUCGUAACAAAGUAGAGGUACUGGAAAGUGUUUCUAGAAAA
rnacentral:ncRNA from 1 species